UACGUAGGGCGCAAGCGUUGUCCGGAAUUAUUGGGCGUAAAGAGCUCGUAGGCGGUCUGUCGCGUCGGCUGUGAAAACCCGAGGCUCAACCUCGGGCCUGCAGUCGAUACGGGCAGACUAGAGUGCUGUAGGGGAGACUGGAAUUCCUGGUGUAGCGGUGAAAUGCGCAGAUAUCAGGAGGAACACCGAUGGCGAAGGCAGGUCUCUGGGCCGAUACUGACGCUGAGGAGCGAAAGCGUGGGGAGCGAACAGG
rnacentral:rRNA from 1 species